UAAGGGGUUGUAACUAACUACAGC
rnacentral:piRNA from 1 species